rnacentral:rRNA from 1 species
CAGCCGUAAACUAUGCGCGUUAGGUGUACUGGUGACCACGAGUCACCGGGGUGCCGAAGGGAAACCGUGAAACGUGCCGCCUGGGAAGUACGGUCGCAAGGCUGAAACUUAAAGGAAUUGGCGGGGGAGGCACCACAACGGGUGGAGCCUGCGGUUUAAUUUGGACUCAACGCCGGAAAUCUCACCGGAUAGGACAGACAUAUGAUAGUCGGGCUGAAGACUCUACUUGAUGAUCUGAGAGGUGGUGCAUGGCGUCAGU